rnacentral:tRNA from 1 species
GCGGGUGUGGCGGAACUGGUAGACGCGCUAGGUUUAGGUCCUAGUGGCCGCAAGGCCGUGGGGGUUCGAGUCCCUUCGCCCGCACCA